rnacentral:rRNA from 1 species
AGUGAACGCUGGCGGUAGGCCUAACACAUGCAAGUCGAACGGCAGCACAGUAAGAGCUUGCUCUUACGGGUGGCGAGUGGCGGACGGGUGAGGAAUACAUCGGAAUCUACUUUUUCGUGGGGGAUAACGUAGGGAAACUUACGCUAAUACCGCAUACGACCUACGGGUGAAAGCAGGGGAUCUUCGGACCUUGCGCGAUUGAAUGAGCCGAUGUCGGAUUAGCUAGUUGGCGGGGUAAAGGGCCACCAAGGCGACGAUCCGUAGCUGGUCUGAGAGGAUGAUCAGCCACACUGGAACUGAGACACGGCCCAGACUCCUACGGGAGGCAGCAGUGGGGAAUAUUGGACAAUGGGCGCAAGCCUGAUCCAGCCAUACCGCGUGGGUGAAGAAGGCCUUCGGGUUGUAAAGCCCUUUUGUUGGGAAAGAAAAGCAGCAGGUUAAUACCCCGCUGUUCUGACGGUACCCAAAGAAUAAGCACCGGCUAACUUCGUG